rnacentral:lncRNA from 1 species
GCUUUUGGGAUAGCACUGGAAAUGUAAAUGAAGAAAAUACCUAAUUUAAAAAAAAAGAAUAGAAGGAUAAUAAACAGCAUAUCCAUCUCUGAAAAAAAAAAAGGAAAAAAGGAAUGAGAAGUUCAAAAGUAGAGUUGUAGACUAGAGUAAAGAUCUAAGAAUACUAGAGGGAUCAUCUGCAUGAAUGUUGUAGUUUCAAAGAAUUAUGAUGGUUGAUGUGAGAGUGAGUCAAGAUCUAAAAAUAAAUAAUGGGAAGUGACUUUGAAUUCCUGUGGUACAUGGGAUAGUCACUGGUAUAAUCUAGUGGCUAUUUUAAUAAUCCAAGGCAGAAAGUAGUAGAUAGCCCUGAGUACUUAUUAAAAUGAGAGGGGGGGAGAUAAUUAUCUUUCCAACAAUAGGUUGCCCUUGACUUCAUGAUGAAAGUAAAGAUGCUCUUGGCCUUUGCCAGAUGAUGGAUUUUAGAGGAACUGAUUUUAUUAAAAACAUUCUUUUUUUCCCCAUUAAUCAAUUUAUUCACUUUAUAUCCCAUCUCCUCCUAGUCCCGCCCUCACAGGCCCUUCCCCUGUCCCUCCAUCCCUCUCUGAGAAAGGAAGGGGAAGUCCUCCCUGUUACCAACCUACCCUGGCACCUCAAGUCACUGCAGGACUAAGCACAUCCUCUCCCACUAAGGCCAGGGAGGACAGGCCAGAGAGGGGAACAGGAUCCAUAGACAGGCAGCAGAGUCAGGGUAAGCCCCCACCUCCUGUUGUUAAACAUGUACUCUUGGUUAUAGAGAGCUGUAAUCUUUUCUCAGUGAAGUAGGGGCAUAGCAGUUUUAUUAUUAAUUCUAGGCUCCCUUUCAACUCGGAGGAGUGACAACCUAUUAGAUAUUGGUUCUGAUAUGUUUCUACUGACUUUCUCUCAAUUCCUGCUGCUGAUAGCUCAUAUAGGCAAUAUGAUAUACUCUGAACACUGACACAUACUUGACUAUUAUAUGAAGACUAGAAAUCUACUCUAAUAUCAAGUAUAUGUAAUUGCACUGUGUUACAGAUAGAUGUGUUUAUGUGUAUAAAUGUAUUAACUCAAAUCUUUUAUCAGUAAAGGAGGAAGUAAAAUACCCAGGAGAUAUUAUUUGUUAGAUUAUUUUAGAAUUAAUAAUGAAAUAACUAGCCUGCAUCCAUAACAAUGUAUUGGUGAAAACCAGUGCUGAUCUUAAUCUCAGAUGACACAGUACCAAACGCUGAAAUAUCCCUAAAGAUCAAAAUCCUUAAAGUCUAAAAUAGCAGAAAUUUUAAAUGAUGCAUAGUAAUGUAUAGUGGGUAGUUGUAAUUGCUUUAGGAGGCUGAGAUAUGGGAGUCCAGUUCAAGAGUUUGAGGCUAGCAUGUGCAAUAUGGCGAGGCCCUGCCACUCCUCUCUAAAACAUCACCACUCUAAAAGACUAAAGUCCCAAAUGUUGGUGUCCCAAAAGAUGAAAUCUCCAAAACAAAAAUUCUCGUGUGUGUGUGUGUGUGUGUGUGUGUGUGUGUGUGUGUAUAAAGUGAGCUAUGUGUGAGGAACAGAAAGGCAGAUUCUAGGUAAGGGAUUAGUCUUGCCAUAUGGCAGCCCAAAGGUUUCAUUUUAAAACUGUUCUCAGGUGUAAUGGCUCAUGCUUGUAAUCCUAGAACUGGACAGGCUGAGGUGAGGGGGAAUCAUGAGUUUGAGGCCAGCCUGGAUUACAUAGUAAGUUUUAAAUCAGCCUUAACUACAUAGGGAGACCCUGCUUAAAACAACAAAACAAAACAAGGCUGUUUUUUGUCUUCAUUUGCUUUUGUUUUAGCUGGUGAAAUUUGAAAAUAAUUAUUUGCAGAGUAGGAUAAGAAGACUUUUGUUUUGAAUAUUACAUGUUAUAUAUAAUAGUAUAUUAUAUUAUAUGCAGUAUAUUAUGUGCCAGUUUUGUGAUUUGUAUGAGUGUGUUUCAAAUGGAUUUCCCAGUACCAAAAAAAGAGUGUGUGGAGAUGAUUCAGUCGUCUUGCAGGCAUGAUGAUCUCUGAGUGCAUAACCAGCGUGCAUGUAAUAAACUAGAACAGACAACUUAUGCAGGCUCCUUGCCAGCAGGUCCAGGCAAGAGGAGAGAGGUCCUGGUCUUACUGGGGUCUCUCUGGGGCUGAGCUAGAUGGCGAGUGUCGAUGGCCCAAAAGAAAACAUACAGAGCCAGGAGUCCUGUAGAAGCAGGAACUCAACUUUAUGGCACUGGCCUCUCGCUUAUAUAAGUUCAGAACAUAGGGAGGGGAGUCUUGGUGGGUAAGAUGAUAUAGGAGGCAGAGAAGUGUGACAGAGGAUAUGGAGUGAUGGACAGGGCCAGUGGCAGAGCUCUACAACAGCAAGGGCGGGGCAGAGGCAGGGCCAAACAGGUCUUGCUGAGUCACCCCAAUAAGUGGGGAGUGACUGAGACAGGUCUCAAAAUUCAAGCCAGUCUCAGGUUUGUCCUCAAGGCCCAAACCAGAGCCUAAAUGGGGCCCAACAAACUUACACCUGCAUUACCAGCAUUGGAGAGGUGAGACAGGAGGAUCUCUGGAGUUUGCUAGAUAGGUAGGCUAACUGAAUCAGUGAAUUCCAGGUUUAGCAGGAGACCCUGUCUCUAAAAUAAAACAAACAAACAUGGUGGUGUGGUGAUGGUGGUGGUAGUGGUAGUGUCAUCGUCUAGAGAGAUGGCUUAGUGGUUAAGAACACUGGCUGCUUUUCCAGAGGACUUAGGCUCUAUUCCAGUACCUACACAGUAGCUCACAACUGCCUAUAACUUCAGUUCCAGGAGAGUCAGUACUUUUUUCUGGCCUCAACAGGCACCAGGCAUGCAAGUGGCUCACAGACAAAAAUAUUCAGACAAAAUGCCCACAUACAUUU